CAAACGACUCUCGGCAACGGAUAUCUCGGCUCAUGCAUCGAUGAAGAACGUAGCGAAAUGCGAUACUUGGUGUGAAUUGCAGAAUCCCGUGAACCAUCGAGUCUUUGAACGCAAGUUGCGCCCGAAGCCAUUCGGCCGAGGGCACGUCUGCCUGG
rnacentral:rRNA from 1 species